rnacentral:RNase_P_RNA from 2 species
AAAUUCGAGUAAUCGCUGCAUCUUAGAUGAUGUAGAGGAAAGUCCAUGCUCACACGGCUCUGAGAUGACCGUAGUGUUCGUGCUUACCGAAAAAAUAAGGUAAGGCAAGCAUUUGCUUGACGGCGAAAGGAAUACCUAAGUCUUUUUGAUAUGGUAGAAACUUUCUGAAGGUGCCACAGUGACGAAGCUUGCUUGGAAACAUGCAAGGUGGAACGAGGUAAACCCCGCGAGUGAGAAACCCAAAUUAUGGUAGGGGCACUCUCCAAAAGGAAAUGAACGGAUGGAGGGACAGGCAAAUGCCUGUAGAUAGAUGAUUACUACCUGACAGUACGAGGCUAUUAGCUGUUUGAGUACACAGGAACAAAACAUGGCUUACGGAA